CAAAUAUGGAUCUGCAAAUCUCAGUUUUUCUUCUGUUCGUGCUGUUCACUGCAGGACAGUCUCGUAACUGCUAUCAGUGCACAAGUUUGGCGAGCUCUUGUGACCAGGUAACAUGUCCUAAUGGAUUUUCCAACUGCUUAGGCGCAACACUAGAUAUUGUCAACUAUACUAAAUUGACAGUGAAAACUUGUG